GCCAAGGGCCAAGUGUGAGCUCCAGUCUGGAGCAGAAGGGCCCUUCCCUCCCCCUCUGGAAACCAGGAGAGAGGGGUGUGCAUGGAGACACCCUGGACAGUCCUGCAAACCCAGCAAGCCCUGCUCCAUGUCAGUGGCACCAGCACAUCACUGUGAGCCAGCCCUGAUGCUGAAGGCAUCUCCUGACACAGGUGCUGAGCCUCCCCUGGGGCAGCAGGAACAUCCCAGAGCCCGUGUGUGCAGCAGCAGCAGCAGCCAGGAGGCAGCUCCUGUGAUCCCCAAGGCAGUAGUUUAGCACUCUGCAGCUCCCCACUGGCAUGAAGAGACACUUACAGCUGUUUUCCCCCCUGAUGCCAGCACUCUGUGGAGCUAAUGGGGGGCUCCCCAGGCCUGAUGAAGUGCACAGCCAGAGGACUUGCCAUAUGCCUGGGGAAUUUCACCUCUCUUCAGACUCUAUUCAGCCCCAGCUCCCAAGGUGAAAUCCCAUUUAGGUCGGUACAUUUUGGCACUACUAAUCACAGUGAUGUGGUGAAUGCUUCCUGUUCUUAUUGCUGGGCUGGUGUCUGUUGUGUGCAACCAGGCAUGUGCUGCCUUCACCCCUGCCGUGGUGACCCCAUUGCAGCAGGGAAAGGAAAUUGAGAUCUAAAUGGGGAAAACUUUGCUGCAAAUAAAAAUAAAUGAAAGCACAAGAAAAAACCAAGGACUUUGUGCUGAUUUUCUCUGCUGCUGCUCUCACAGAACAAUGAGGAGUAUAAUGUAAGAUUUUCCAACCUCUAACUAUCUAUCAGCACAACAAAUUUCACUAUUCUUCAUGUUUCUUUAUUCUUAAAUAACUCCUUGUGUAUUUACAGAGCUGUUUCUCUGGUGCAGUUUUGGUAGAUUGCAUUGGAGAAAACUGUUUUAAUGUGGGGCCAAGGGAAGUCUCCCACCUUAUGAUGUGUUGGCCUGUGUUGGAGAGUGAAUGUCCCCAGACCUCAUCCUCCCCUGGCUCCAUGUGCUGCUCCCAGAAAGCCAGGACUGGAUAUUCCAUAGAAUCAGGGACUGGGUAUUUUAUAGAAAACAGGAGCUGGGUAUAGUAUAGAAUCUGGGACUGGGUAUUUUUUAGAAUCAGGUUCUGGGUAUUUUAUAGAAUUGGGAGCUGAGUAUUUUAUAAAAUCAGAGGUUGGGUAUUGUAUAGAAUCAGAGGCUGGGUAUUGUAUAGAAAUCUGGGAGUGAAUGU